UACGCAGGGUGCGAGCGUUAAUCGGAAUUACUGGGCGUAAAGCGUGCGCAGGCGGUUUUGUAAGCCAGAUGUGAAAUCCCCGGGCUUAACCUGGGAAUGGCAUUUGGGACUGCAAGGCUGGAGUUUGGCAGAGGAGACUGGAAUUCCUGGUGUAGCAGUGAAAUGCGUAGAUAUCAGGAGGAAUACCGAUGGCGAAGGCAGGUCUCUGGGCUAUAACUGACGCUCAUGCACGAAAGCGUGGGGAGCAAACAGG
rnacentral:rRNA from 1 species